CUUUGGAGAAAGACACAGACCUGUCUUCAGGUCAUUGCCUUAACCUUGGCAAAAUAAACUUCUAAAUGGAUUGAGACCUGUCUCAGAUACUUUUUGGUUUACAAGGGCGAGCUCACAAGGCUUUAGCGGACCUCUGGGAGCGUGCACAAAGAAGGGACGCUUGAAUUGCUUGUUUUCUCAAGAAGUGUCAGGUCUGAGAGCCUGAAGCUACCCAGCCAAGUACUCCUCACGUCUCCUCCCUGCCUUACAGGGAGGGGAUUCAGCGUUGGUUUUGACUGUCACCAGGACUGGACAUCCUGAUGACCGAAAAAGCAGAUGGCGUUUGUGACUAUAUAUACAUAAUACAACAGAGAAAGCCAAAAAUCCAAGGAACUGCAAGAAUUUUUAUCCGGGUGAAGAUUAUCCUGACAGAGAAAAGUUAGGUGAGGAAGACAAAAACAAAGCUGUAUUUGGAUAAUGUCACGAGUCCUGUUUGUUCAACACACUGGACACAGCAAGACGACUGACUGAAUUAGCCUCCCAUGGCCUCUGCCCAGGCUGGAUAAGAACCUCAAACCUAGGAGGGAGUGGAGGAGACGGAGCUUGGAGAGGUGAGUUAGGCAUGGGGGGAGGGCUGUGUCUCCCAUGCCUCCUCUGACUUGCUCUAGGGAGUUGGCUGGAGGCGAAAGUAGAACUCUCCGCCCUCCUUAAAGUUUGGGAAACCUGAGAGUGGAGAGAUCUUUUGCCUCGUUGCUGGUGGAAGUGAGACAGCCAGGUGGGAAGGGCUCCCUGGCAGAACCUCUGAUGGCCUGCGCACCAUGGGGAAUGCGCUCUGAUGUGGAGCCCUGGGAAGUUCACGCCCUUUGCAGCGGGGAGGAGCCUGGCAUCUCUCUCCUGUUCCGGGGUGUGGUACCUGGGAUUGCAUCUGCGAGGUGGGAAGUGCACUAGCAGGGACUCUGGCUGUCAGGCCUCUGAGCCCAAGCCCAGCCAUCGCAUCCCCUGUGACUUGCACAUAUAUGCCCAGAUGGCCUGAAGUAACUGAAGAAUCACAAAAGAAGUGAAUAUGCCCUGCCGCACCUUAACUGAUGACAUUCCACCACAAAAGAAGUGUAAACGGCCGGUCCUUGUCUUAAGUGAUGACAUUACCUUGUGAAAGUCCUUUUCCGAGCUCAUCCUGGCUCAAAAAGCACCCCCACUGAGCACCUUGGGACCCCCGCCCCUGCCCACCAGAGAACAACCCCCUUUGACUGUAAUUUUCCUUUACCUUCCCAAAUCCUAUAAAACGGCCGCACCCCUAUCUCCCUUGGCUGACUCUCAUUUCGGACUCAGCCCGCCUGCACCCAGGUGAAAUAAACAGCCAUGUUGCUCACACAAA
rnacentral:lncRNA from 1 species